GAAGUUUUGUUUCACUGAAACUCUGAAUUUAUAACCUGAUUUUGUGGACAUGUGAGCUCAAAUGAGAGAGGCCCAAGUCCAAAAUUUUCCUGUUAUAUUUUAUUUAUUUAUUUUUUAUUUUUAUUUAUUUUUCGUUUUUUUUUAAUUUUUUUUUUCGUUUUUCGUUUUUUUUUCGUUCCCUUUUUUUUAAACACGUGGGCUUCGCCUAGCGAGCAUGACAGUUCAUGAACAAACUUU
rnacentral:lncRNA from 1 species